rnacentral:misc_RNA from 1 species
GAUGAAGAACGCAGCGAAAUGUGAUAAGUAAUGUGAAUUGCAGAAUUCAGUGAAUCAUCGAAUCUUUGAACGCACAUUGCGCCCCCUGGUAUUCCGGGGGGCAUGCCUGUUCGAGCGUCAUUUCACCACUCAAGCCUCGCUUGGUAUUGGGCAACGCGGUCCGCCGCGUGCCUCAAAUCGACCGGCUGGGUCUUCUGUCCCCUAAGCGUUGUGGAAACUAUUCGCUAAAGGGUGUUCGGGAGGCACGCCGUAAAACAACCCCAUUUCUAAGGUUGACCUCGGAUCAGGUAGGGAUACCCGCUGAACUUAAGCAUAUCAAUAAGCGGAGGA